CCUACGGGAGGCUGCAGUGGGGAAUAUUGGACAAUGGGGGGAACCCUGAUCCAGCCAUGCCGCGUGUGUGAAGAAGGCCCUCGGGUUGUAAAGCACUUUCAGUGAGGAAGAACGCCUGGUGGUUAAUACCCAUCAGGAAAGACAUCACUCACAGAAGAAGCACCGUCUAACUCCGUGCCAGCAGCCGCGGUAAUACGGAGGGUGCGAGCGUUAAUCGGAAUUACUGGGCGUAAAGCGCGCGUAGGUGGCUUGAUAAGCCGGUUGUGAAAGCCCCGGGCUCAACCUGGGAACGGCAUCCGGAACUGUCAAGCUAGAGUGCAGGAGAGGAAGGUAGAAUUCCCGGUGUAGCGGUGAAAUGCGUAGAGAUCGGGAGGAAUACCAGUGGCGAAGGCGGCCUUCUGGACUGACACUGACACUGAGGUGCGAAAGCGUGGGUAGCAAACAGGAUUAGAUACCCCUGUAGUC
rnacentral:rRNA from 1 species